rnacentral:rRNA from 1 species
AAUAUUGGACAAUGGGGGCAACCCUGAUCCAGCCAUGCCGCGUGUGUGAAGAAGGUCUUCGGAUUGUAAAGCACUUUAAGUUGGGAGGAAGGGCUUUAGGUUAAUACCCUGAAGUUUUGACGUUACCAACAGAAUAAGCACCGGCUAACUCUGUGCCAGCAGCCGCGGUAAUACAGAGGGUGCAAGCGUUAAUCGGAAUUCUUGGGCGUAAAGCGGGGGUAGGUGGUUUAUAAAGAUGGGUGUGAAAUCCCCGGGCUUAACCUGGGAACUGCUUUCAUAACUGCAGAGCUAGAGUACGGUAGAGGGUAGUGGAAUUUCCUGUGUAGCGGUGAAAUGCGUAGAUGUAGGAAGGAACACCAGUGGCGAAGGCGACUACCUGGACUGAUACUGACACUGAGGUGCGAAAGCGUGGGGAGCAAACA